rnacentral:rRNA from 1 species
UACGUAGGGUGCGAGCGUUAUUCGGAAUUACUGGGCGUAAAGCGUGCGUAGGCGGUUCGUUAAGUUCGGUGUGAAAGCCCCGGGCUCAACCUGGGAAUGGCAAUGGAAACUGGCGGGCUGGAGUAUGGCAGAGGGGGGUGGAAUUCCGGGUGUAGCAGUGAAAUGCGUAGAGAUGUGGAGGAACACCGGUGGCGAAGGCAGCGCCCUGGGUCAAGAUUGACGCUCAGGCACGAAAGCGUGGGGAGCAAACAGG